UGGGGAAUUUUGGACAAUGGGCGAAAGCCUGAUCCAGCAAUGCCGCGUGUGUGAAGAAGGCCUUCGGGUUGUAAAGCACUUUUGUCCGGAAAGAAAUCCUUGGCUCUAAUACAGUCGGGGGAUGACGGUACCGGAAGAAUAAGCACCGGCUAACUACGUGCCAGCAGCCGCGGUAAUACGUAGGGUGCAAGCGUUAAUCGGAAUUACUGGGCGUAAAGCGUGCGCAGGCGGUUUGCUAAGACCGAUGUGAAAUCCCCGGGCUCAACCUGGGAACUGCAUUGGUGACUGGCAGGCUAGAGUAUGGCAGAGGGGGGUAGAAUUCCACGUGUAGCAGUGAAAUGCGUAGAGAUGUGGAGGAAUACCGAUGGCGAAGGCAGCCCCCUGGGCCAAUACUGACGCUCAUGCACGAAAGCGUGGGGAGCAAACAGGAUUAGAUACCCUGGUAGUCCACGCCCUAAACGAUGUCAACUAGUUGUUGGGGAUUCAUUUCCUUAGUAACGUAGCUAACGCGUGAAGUUGACCGCCUGGGGAGUACGGUCGCAAGAUUAAAACUUAAA
rnacentral:rRNA from 1 species